UACAGAGGUCUCAAGCGUUGUUCGGAUUCAUUGGGCGUAAAGGGUGCGUAGGUGGCGCCAUAAGUCAGGUGUGAAAUCUCGGGGCUCAACCCCGAAACUGCACUUGAUACUGUGGUGCUGGAGUACUGGAGAGGAGAUUGGAAUUUACGGUGUAGCAGUGAAAUGCGUAGAUAUCGUAAGGAAGACCAGUGGCGAAGGCGAAUCUCUGGACAGUUACUGACACUGAGGCACGAAGGCCAGG
rnacentral:rRNA from 1 species